AACAUCCAACAAGAACGGUGCACUUACUAUAUAUGGCAUAUGAUGAUCUCAAAAUGGCAUAAAGGGAGACGAGAAAUCAGUAGCAAUGCUUUGUUCUAAAGUGAAUUCUUUAUAAUAACUUGAAAACAAAUACAGUUGCAAAUGUCUCUAAUGGUUCUACAACAAUCUUCAUGCAGAAGAGGUAAGUAGGCCAUUAUGCCUAAGCAGCGGUUCUGGAGAAGGUUCCCGUCCUCUAAAUUGCACGAAAACCUCCAGUGGAGCCUUUCCACCGCCAAGAGCAAGAACAGUCUCCCUGAAUCUCUGGCCUGUUUCUUUUACAGCCUUCUCAUUCUCUAGUCCAACAUCUUCAAAAGCAGAGAAAGCAUCUGCAGACAAAACCUCUGCCCACUUGUAACUGUAGUAUCCAGCAGCAUAUCCACCAGCAAAAAUGUGACUGAAACUGGCAAGGAACUUAUCGUCUGGGAGUGGAGGAAGCACUUGGGUUUUCUUAGAGACCCGUCGGUCAACACAAUAGAUUGAUUCCGAACCACCCGGAACAUAUUUUGCAUGUAACUCAAGAUCAACUGUAGCAAAUCUCAACUGCCGAAGACUUAAGGUACCAGCACGGAAAGUUUUAGCAGCAAGAAGCUUCUUGUAUAUGUCUUCUGGGAGUGUCUCUCCAGUUUCAUGAUGCUUAGCAAUACCCAUCAGAGUAUCCCUGUGAUAGCACCAAUUCUCCAUGAAUUGUGAUGGCAAUUCCACAGCAUCCCACUCUACACCCCUUAUGCCAGCAACCAAACCCUCAUCCUGCUUAGUUAGCAUAUGCUGAAGGGCAUGUCCAAAUUCAUGGAAGACAGUCUCA
rnacentral:misc_RNA from 1 species